AUUGAAAGAUAUUAGUUUCGCAUCAGUUAGGGAAAGGACAUUUUACAGUGCAGAGUUACAGAUGGACAGCGAAGAUCAAUGGAAACAUUGACAAAAAUCCCUCAUUCGCAGUUAAGUGACUAAUGAAUAAGUCAAGUGCUGUUGACGUUUUCGACAAGUACGCGAUGGUUACCUAACAGUUGGUUCUUUGCGACAAUUUUACCGCUUUCGUAAUGGAAAGAGUGCAUCAACACAUCUCUGCGAAAGAAAGGGUUAGGGAAUUUCCAAUCCUCUUUGAGGCUGCACAGUGCUGAAAAGGAUAAAGUAUACAAUCCCACAGUAGAAGACAAAAAAUGUGCAAAGACUGUGUGUUCUCCAAAUGUGCCUAACUGGUGCAUUUGUUGUCCUGGUUAUUGAUGUGGUCAGUAGCCAUGAUUCUCUCCGGUGUGGUGCAGCAGUGCGAUGCAUAGAAUCCUGAUAUGGAAUAUAGCUGUCGAAGAUGUAAUAUAGAUAAAAUGACCAUACGUCCCGAUUUCGGCGGGACAGUCCUCUGCGUCCCGCCGAUUUUUAAAAAUAUCCCGCUUUUCAGAAAACAUCUGCAUUUUCUAUUUUAAAUGUGCUGUAAAAUAUAUUACCUAUUAUUUAUUAAUUAUCAUAGUGAAUAUAAAGAAAUAAAAAGACUCAUAAAAUGCAUGCAGAGUAAACUAAAUUAGGCGAUGUAAAAAGUUAAAUGUACUCGGUGGUAUUCGAUCAUUGUUGUUACGUCUCAUCAAGGAAUAUGUAUUGUUAACGGAGGAACAGCUAGCAUUAGCUGAAGGGUCAUUUGCUUUCCACACCAUAAAGCACAAUCAAAGUUUCAAAUCACUUGAUUGUACGUCGCAAAUGAUCAAAACAUUGUACGACAAAAUUUUGCACGUGCAAGGACAAAAAAACCGAAGCAAUUAUUUGUAAUGUUUUUUCACCAUAUUUGUUUUCACAUUUGCAAAAAGAAUUAGAUUAAAUGCACAUUUAUGUCCAUAUACUAUGAUGCUUCCAACCACAAAGAU
rnacentral:lncRNA from 1 species